ACCCUCCAGUUCCCUUUCCCAUCAGAUCAGAACACUGGUCUGGGGGGUGGUAAAAGGAGGAAAGGAAACAUUGAAGCCGCCGCACAGUGCUCUUGGAGCUCUGGCUAGUUUCAAACGUAA